GUGAGGAAUUUUCCGCAAUGGGCGAAAGCCUGACGGAGCAAUGCCGCGUGAAGGAUGAAGGCCUAUGGGUUGUAAACUUCUUUUCUCAGAAAAGAAUUAUGACGGUAUCUGAGGAAUAAGCAUCGGCUAACUCUGUGCCAGCAGCCGCGGUAAGACAGAGGAUGCAAGCGUUAUCCGGAAUGAUUGGGCGUAAAGCGUCUGUAGGUUGUUUAAAAAGUAUUCUGUCAAAGAUUAGGGCUUAACCCUAGAUAGGCAGAAUAAACUUUUAAGCUAGAGUUUGGUAGAGGCAGAGGGAGUUCCCGGUGGAGCGGUGAAAUGCGUAGAUAUCGGGAGGAACACCAAAGGCGAAGGCACUCUGCUGGGCCAAUACUAACACUGAGAGACGAAAGCGAGGGGAGCAAAUGGGAUUAGAAACCCGAGUAGUCC
rnacentral:rRNA from 1 species